rnacentral:misc_RNA from 1 species
AAGUCGUAACAAGGUUUCCGUAGGUGAACCUGCGGAAGGAUCAUUAAAGAGAAAAUGCCCUUUGGGUACAUCUCCCGCCCUGAUUAUUCUACCUCGUUGCUUUGGUAGGUUAACUCCUGCCAAAGUGUAUCAAUACUCUAGUCAUAUCUUGUCUGAGCAAAAAACAUAAUAUUUUAAAACUUUCAACAACGGAUCUCUUGGUUCUG